GGUAGAGGAACAAAGGCUAAAACCAUCACGUCCUGUGAUAACGCCUUCGUGACCAACAUCGGUGCUGC
rnacentral:sRNA from 1 species